UAAGUUCAACUCCAAUUAUCUUGUGAUUCAACCGUAGACCAAUUAUCCUGUGAUUCAACCGUAGAAAAUCCAAAUUGAUUCCGUAGUUGUGUUCACCGUCUCGAGGGCUUCGAGAAGCACCCCUUAUUUGUGCCAACAGGACUUCGAAAUCAAAAGGGUCAUUUUAUGGUAAGGAUGUAAAUUAUGUUGGUGUUAUUUAUAUGGAUAUGUAUAUAUAUAUGCAUGUGAGCAUAAGAAGCAUGUUAUUUGAUUGAUGUUGAAAGAUGAUUGGAAAUGAUGUUGGAUUAUUCUUGUGCAUAAUUGGAUUAUGUUGAAUUGUGAAGGGAUUUGGUGUGAUGAUGUGUGGGAUUAAAAUGAUGAUUAUAUAUAUAUACACAUAAACCUAUUGUUCAGGUUGGUUUUUGGAAUACUUUGCAAAUAUUGGUUGUAUGGAUUUAUGGAAGAGAAUUGUGGUGUUGGGUUGCUAAUACUAGAUGCCAAACAUUUCAUUGUAGAUAAGUGAUUUGUAAAGGCGGAAAGUUGUGUUGAAUUGGUAUCCGAAUCUACAACGAGGUAUGUAAAGCAUACUCUAACAAUGUUCUUUGGCAUGAAAACACCAAUGUUCCAUCAAGUAAGAUUCCGAGGUUGUCCAAAAACAUGUAUUGUUCUACAUUACCAACGAAGUUGUUUCCAUUCUAUAAAGUGUCAAAAUGUUUCAUUGAUAUACCGAAAGGCUCCUAUUUCAUUGUUGUGAUAUUGAUGAUUCCGAAACACAUUGUUGAUGUACCAAUGAGUCUUUAUUACAUCGUUAUUGUAUAGAAAGUCUAUUACUUGGUUCCUAUUGAUGUAUCAUUAUUCCAAAGGUACUAUAUUGGCAUGAACACUAAUGUAAUAAUCUCAAAAGCUUUUGAACUAAGUUAUUGGAAAGAUCUCUUAUGUGUGUUACUUGAUAUACGUGUGGGUGGUAGCUCAGGGGCUUAAGCCUAGCAUGGGCCGAUCCCGAUAUUUGAUAUGAUUACAGUUGAUAUGUACUGGGGGCAGCCUAAUGGUCACAGUACGGUACAGUAUUGAUUAUUGUUAGGUGGUUGGAGGUUCGGGAGGAGGAGGUAAUGGCGAAUGAUAAUUGUAAAGAAUGAAAUGAACGAAUGUAUACCGUUCCACAAAUGUGUUUGAAUUCAAGAACCCAAUUCAGAUUAAUGAUAAGAUAAUGUACAUGAUCCUAAAAGUGUUUAUGAAGUGUGGUUCACUUCUAUUAUGAUUUAUUCACUUGCGUCUGAUUUUCUUGAUCCCCCAUACCACAUAUGAUUAUUUACAGCUUUACAUACUCAGUACAUAUUUCGUACUGACGUCCCUCACGAGGGACCUGCAUUUCAUGCUGCAGGCACAGGUGCUUCAGCUCAUUCACAGCAUAGAUAGGAGCCAG
rnacentral:lncRNA from 1 species